rnacentral:rRNA from 1 species
AGCGAACGCUGGCGGCAGGCUUAACACAUGCAAGUCGAACGCCCCGCAAGGGGAGUGGCAGACGGGUGAGUAACGCGUGGGAACGUGCCCUUCGCUUCAGGAUAGCCCCGGGAAACUGGGAGUAAUACUGGAUACGCCGUAUUGGGAAAGAUUGAUCGGAGAAGGAUCGGCCCGCGUUAGAUUAGGUAGUUGGCGGUGUAAUGGACCACCAAGCCGACGAUCUAUAGCUGGUCUGAGAGGAUGAUCAGCCACACUGGGACUGAGACACGGCCCAGACUCCUACGGGAGGCAGCAGUGGGGAAUCUUGGACAAUGGGCGCAAGCCUGAUCCAGCCAUGCCGCGUGAGUGAAGAAGGCCUUAGGGUUGUAAAACUCUUUCGCCGGAGAAGAUAAUGACGGUAUCCGGAGAAGAAGCCCCGGCUAACUUCGUGCCAGCCGCCGCCGUAACAC